GUAUAUUUUAGAUCAAUAAGGGUGAAAUCUGUAUUUAUUCUCCAUUUGUUUGAAUAAAGCACUCUUUAGAUGGCCAAACAACUAGGAUUAGAUACCCUAUUAGUUCAUUUCCAAUUAACCUGGGUAGUAUUAUUUAAACCUAAAGAAUUUGGCGGUUUCUAAACUUACUAGAGGAACCUGCCCCAUAAACGACAAUCCACGAGACAAUCGACCCGUUCUUGUAAAACAGCUUAUAUACCGUCGUUUAGGGGAUUAAAUAAAUAACUGCUCUUAAUUGCUUAGGCUAAUAAAUCAGAUCAAGGUGUAGCUUAUGUCCGGGAGAGGGUGGGUUACAAUAAGACCUUAAACGGAAUUUUCAUUUUAUCAUGGAGAAGAAGGUGGAUUUAGAAGUAAGGCCUAUCAACCUGAAGGAGGCUCUGAGAAAUGUACACAUCGCCCGUCGCUCUCUUGUCCGAAGAGAUAAGUCGUAACAAAGUAGGUAUACCGGAAGGUGUAUCUUGAGA
rnacentral:rRNA from 1 species